UUGACCUCAAAUCGGGUGAGACUACCCGCUGAACUUAAGCAUAUCAAUAAGCGGAGGAAAAGAAACUAACAAGGAUUCCCCUAGUAACUGCGAGUGAAGCGGGAAAAGCUCAAAUUUAAAAUCUGGCGGUCUUUGGCCGUCCGAGUUGUAAUUUAGAGAAGCGUCUUCCGCGCUGGACCGUGCACAAGUCUCCUGGAAUGGAGCGUCAUAGAGGGUGAGAAUCCCGUCUUUGGCACGGAUGCCCGGUGCUUUUGUGAUGCGCUCUCGAAGAGUCGAGUUGUUUGGGAAUGCAGCUCAAAAUGGGUGGUGAACUCCAUCUAAAGCUAAAUAUUGGCGAGAGACCGAUAGCGAACAAGUACCGUGAGGGAAAGAUGAAAAGCACUUUGGAAAGAGAGUGAAACAGUACGUGAAAUUGUUGAAAGGGAAACGCUUGAAGUCAGUCGCGUCGACCGAGACUCAGCCUUGCCUUGGCUUGGUGUACUUCUCGGCCCGACGGGUCAGCAUCAAUUUUACCCCUCGGAUAAUGGCAGAGGAAAGGUGGCACCUUUACGGGUGUGUUAUAGUCUCCUGUCGCAUGCAAGGGGUGGGAUUGAGGAACUCAGCGCGCACCUCAGUGUCGGGGCUUCGGCCCACGUCACGCGCUUAGGA
rnacentral:rRNA from 1 species